rnacentral:rRNA from 1 species
AUGCCGACGCGUCGUGGUGGAGAGAAGGGGUUUUCCAAGGCUGCGGAGCGCAAGCCGUCGCGUCGUGGUGGACAGAAGGCCGGUUCGCAGGAGGCAGCGAUCAUGCCAGGGCGCCAUGGUCGACAGAAGGGGCUUCCCAAGGCUGGUUCGCAGGGGGGCCAUGGCAAGUGCAAGGGAGGUCCUCUUCCUCCGGCGAAGAACAUGAUGAGUGAAGAGGAGGUGAGGUCCAUCCUGUCCUGGGAAAAGCCUGCCCGCUUCGACCGAAAGAAGAACAAGGACGCCGGUUUCUUCAACAAGUUGAUUGAUGAAAACUUCAAGUACCAGCGGGAGAUCAAAGAUGAGUUUGAGGAGAAGGGCUACGUCGAGAUCCCCGACAACUUCCGAGAAGACACCAACAGAAUGAUGCGUGAAGCUCACAGGAAGGCGUACCUGGAGGUUUUUGGCACCGAACCGCCAGCUAAGUUCUACUAG